rnacentral:rRNA from 1 species
CCUACGGGAGGCAGCAGUGAGGAAUAUUGGUCAAUGGACGAGAGUCUGAACCAGCCAAGUAGCGUGAAGGAUGACUGCCCUAUGGUUUUUAAACUUCUUUUAUAAAGAAAUAAAACGACGCACGUAUGCCUUUUUGCAUGUACUUUAUGAAUAAGGCUCGGCUAACUCCGUGCCAGCAGCCUCGGUUAUACGGUGGAUCCGAGCGUUAUCCGGAUUUAUUGGGUUUAAAGGGAGCGUAGAUGGGUUGUUAAGUCAGUUGUGAAAGUUUGCGGCUCAACCGUAAAAUUGCAAUUGAUACUGGCAGUCUUGAGUAUAGUUGAGGUAAGCGGAAUUCGUGGUGUAGCGGUGAAAUGCUUAGAUAUCACGAAGAACCCCGAUGGCGAAGGCAGCUUACUAACCUGUGACUGACAUUGAUGCUCGAAAGUGUGGGUAUCAAACAGGAUUAGAGACCCCGGUAGUC